CUACGGGACGCAGCAGUGGGGAAUAUUGCACAAUGGAGGGAACUCUGAUGCAGCAACGCCGCGUGGAGGAUGACGCAUUUCGGUGUGUAAACUCCUUUUAUAUAGGAAGAUAAUGACGGUACUAUAUGAAUAAGCACCGGCUAACUCCGUGCCAGCAGCCGCGGUAAUACGGAGGGUGCAAGCGUUACUCGGAAUCACUGGGCGUAAAGCGCAUGCAGGCGGUUAAAUAAGUUGGAAGUGAAAUCCUAUGGCUCAACCAUAGAACUGCUUCCAAAACUGUUUAACUAGAGUCUGGGAGGGAAGAUGGAAUUAGUAGUGUAGGGGUAAAAUCCGUAGAGAUUACUAGGAAUACCAAAAGCGAAGGCGAUCUUCUGGAACAGUACUGACGCUGAGAUGCGAAAGCGUGGGGAGCAAACAGGAUUAGAUACCCGAGUAGUC
rnacentral:rRNA from 1 species